GACAAAUUGAAAGAGAAGAUGUGCCAAGCUAACCUUCAGAAGGACAGCCCCGAGUGACCAGGAUUUUGAGUUGACAAGGACAUAAACUCUUAUAUCACAUGCAGCUGUUGUGACUCCAUCUGUCCUCUGCAGUAGCUGGAAUAUGUGACCUGAUGCUGCACUGGUCUACAGAAUGGUUCCAACAUGGGGGACGGAACAUUGUGGCUAAAUAGCCAAGUGAAGAAGCACCCUUCAACUCUUCGUAAGGRAGGAAAAAUGCAGGAGCAAAAGAAAGGGGAGCAGAGAGAUGGACACAGGCAGCAAUGGGCUCAUAAUGUUUAGUAUUGUAUAUAUCCCAUCUCAUAUUYGUGUUCUAAUUGAUCUUUGACUAUAAGACUUAAAAUAUGAUUAAAAAAAAUUAUGCUAUGGCUAUUUGAUAGUUUAUUAUGAAAAUCACGACAUGCCCAAACACCUAGUUCAGUGCCAUACCAGGAGCUUAUACUAAGCCUAUAGCAUGUGUAGGGAAGAAAUG